rnacentral:rRNA from 1 species
GUGAGGAAUAUUGCGCAAUGGAGGCAACUCUGACGCAGCCAUGCCGCGUGCAGGAAGAAGGCGCUACGCGUUGUAAACUGCUUUUAACCGGGAAGAAACCCCAGGACGUGUCCUGGGUUGACGGUACCGGAGGAAUAAGCACCGGCUAACUUCGUGCCAGCAGCCGCGGUAAUACGAAGGGUGCAAGCGUUAUCCGGAUUCAUUGGGUUUAAAGGGUGCGUAGGCGGAGCGUUAAGUCAGCGGUGAAAUCCUGCAGCUUAACUGUAGACUUGCCAUUGAUACUGGCGCUCUUGAGUGCGCUUGAAGUGGGCGGAAUGUGCCGUGUAGCGGUGAAAUGCUUAGAUAUGGCACAGAACACCAAUUGCGAAGGCAGCUCACUAAGGCGAUACUGACGCUGAGGCACGAAAGCGUGGGGAUCGAACAGGAUUAGAAACCCCUGUAGUCC